UACGUAGGGUGCGAGCGUUGUCCGGAUUUAUUGGGCGUAAAGGGCUCGUAGGCGGCCUGUCGCGUCGGGAGUGAAAGCCCACUGCUUAACGGUGGGUCUGCUUUCGAUACGGGCAGACUAGAGUUCGGUAGGGGAGUCUGGAAUUCCUGGUGUAGCGGUGAAAUGCGCAGAUAUCAGGAGGAACACCGGUGGCGAAGGCGGGACUCUGGGCCGAUACUGACGCUGAGGAGCGAAAGCGUGGGGAGCAAACAGG
rnacentral:rRNA from 1 species